UACGUAGGUGGCGAGCGUUGUCCGGAUUUACUGGGCGUAAAGAGCGCGCAGGCGGCUGGUCAAGUCCGAUGUGAAAGCUCCCGGCUUAACUGGGAAAUUGCAUCGGAAACUGAUCGGCUGGAAGGUGGGAGAGGGUAGCGGAAUUCCCGGUGUAGUGGUGAAAUGCGUAGAUAUCGGGAGGAACACCAGUGGCGAAGGCGGUUCUCUGGAACGCAACUGACGCUGAGACGCGAAAGCGUGGGGAGCAAACAGG
rnacentral:rRNA from 1 species